rnacentral:rRNA from 1 species
GAAUCAGGUAGGACUACCCGCUGAACUUAAGCAUAUCAAUAAGCGGAGGGAA